GACGAACGCUGGCGGCGUGCCUAAUACAUGCAAGUAGAACGCUGAAGGAGGAGCUUGCUUCUCUGGAUGAGUUGCGAACGGGUGAGUAACGCGUAGGUAACCUGCCUGGUAGCGGGGGAUAACUAUUGGAAACGAUAGCUAAUACCGCAUAAUAGCAGUUGUUGCAUGACAACUGUUUGAAAGGUGCAAUUGCACCACUACCAGAUGGACCUGCGUUGUAUUAGCUAGUUGGUGGGGUAACGGCUCACCAAGGCGACGAUACAUAGCCGACCGGAGAGGGUGAUCGGCCAGACUGGGACGGUGACACGGCCCAGACGCCUACGGGAGGCAGCAGUAGGGAAUCUGCGGCAAUGGACGGAAGUCUGACCGAGCAACGCCGCGUGAGUGAAGAAGGUCUUCGGAUCGUAAAGCUCGGUUGUAAGAGAAGAACGAGUGUGAGAGUGGAAAGUUCACACUGUGACGGUAUCUUACCAGAAAGGGACGGCUAACUACGUG
rnacentral:rRNA from 1 species